CUUACAGACGUCCUGACAGCACAGCCCCUCACCAUGGACUGGAGCUGGAGAGUGCUUUUCCUGGUGUCAGUGAGUACAGGUGUCCACUCUGAAGUGCAGCUAUUACAGUCUGGGUCUGAGGUGAGGAAGCCUGGGGCCUCAGUGAAGGUCUCCUGCAAGGCUUAUGGAUACACCUUCACCAGCUACUGGAUGCAGUGGGUGCGACAGGCCCCAGGACAAGGACUUGAGUGGAUUGGAGAGGUUAAUCCUAGCAAUGGUAAUACAAACUACGCACAGAAGUUUAAGGGCAGAGCCACCAUAACUGCAGACAAGUCCAGGAGCACAGCCUACUUGGAGCUGAACAGCCUGAGAGCCGAGGACACGGCCGUGUAUUACCUUGUCCAAGCGGGCCAGCACCAGGGUACAUCCAUACUGUGCAGUGGGCAGCAGCAGCUAAUGAAAUGA